AUACGUAGGGUGCAAGCGUUGUCCGGAAUUAUUGGGCGUAAAGAGCUCGUAGGCGGCUUGUCGCGUCUGCUGUGAAAUCCCGGGGCUCAACUCCGGGUCUGCAGUGGGUACGGGCAGGCUAGAGUGCGGUAGGGGAGAUUGGAACUCCUGGUGUAGCGGUGGAAUGCGCAGAUAUCAGGAAGAACACCGAUGGCGAAGGCAGAUCUCUGGGCCGCUACUGACGCUGAGGCUCGAAAGUGUGGGGAGC
rnacentral:rRNA from 1 species